rnacentral:rRNA from 1 species
UACGUAGGGUCCAAGCGUUAUCCGGAAUCACUGGGCGUAAAGCGUGCGUAGGUGGCGUGUUAAGUGUGAUGUUAAAUCGUGGGGCUCAACCCUAUCGAUGCAUCGCAUACUGGCAUGCUAGAGGGAAGCAGAGGCAAGUGGAAUUUGUAGUGUAGCAGUGAAAUGCGUAGAUAUUACAAGGAACACCAAUGGCGAAGGCAGCUUGCUGGGCUUCUUCUGACACUGAGGUACGAAAGCGUGGGGAGCGAACAGG